UACGGAGGGUGCAAGCGUUGUCCGGAUUUAUUGGGUUUAAAGGGUGCGUAGGCGGCUUAUUAAGUCAGGGGUGAAAGACUGCAGCUCAACUGUAGCAGUGCCUUUGAUACUGAUGAACUUGAGUACAGAUGAGGCUGGCGGAAUGGGUGGUGUAGCGGUGAAAUGCAUAGAUACCAUCCAGAACACCGAUUGCGAAGGCAGCCGGCUAAACUGUAACUGACGCUGAGGCACGAAAGCGUGGGGAUCGAACAGG
rnacentral:rRNA from 1 species